GGGUCUUUUAGAUGCAGACAACUUACAGAAACUAUAAAAGGUCCAGCAUAUCUUGUGCAAGGCAGACAAUCAUUUGCUUGCUGUAUAUGCUUGUCCCCUCGCUGCGAGAGUCAUCAGAGAGUUGUAGUUGCCUGUCUGACUCUGCCAUACUACUCAGCCUGCCCUGCCGGAUAAACCAGCGACUGAGCCCUUUGCCUCCGUGUACACCCAGGACUUGCGGCUGCGGCCUGGACUGACUGCUUUAGUGUAACCGCGGCUGCGACCGGAUUAACCUGCAGUGAUGGUGUCUCCUGGCAGUAACGUUUCUUCAGACGGUUUUCUUACAUCCAGCCAGGUUCUGGAGCAACUCGAUCCUAUUAAACCAACUGCCCAAGGAAUGGAAUCUAGUGCGAGACCUCCUAAAGUUCUAUCUCCUGCUAUGCUAUUGCUUAAGGCUUUAGAGGAGGGGGGCCGCCCCAGUGUUAGAGCAACACCUGGCAGUAAAGUUUCUUCAGAUGGUGACAAAAAAUAAGAGUUAAUACCAGGGCCGGAACUAGGGGUAGGCAGAAGAGGCAGCUGCCUAGGGCGCAGCGAUUGAGGGGCACCAGGCAGCCUC